UGCCCAAGAGAUCGGGAUAACACCUGGAAACAGAUGCUAAUACCGGAUAACAACAGAUGAUGCCUAUCAACUGUUUAAAAGAUGGUUCUGCUAUCACUCUUGGAUGGACCUGCGGUGCAUUAGCUAGUUGGUAGGGUAACGGCCUACCAAGGCGAUGAUGCAUAGCCGAGUUGAGAGACUGAUCAGCCACAUUGGGACUGAGACACGGCCCAAACUCCUACGGGAGGCAGCAGCG
rnacentral:rRNA from 1 species